rnacentral:rRNA from 1 species
AUCCAGACUCCUACGGGAGGCAGCAGUGGGGAAUAUUGCACAAUGGGGGAAACCCUGAUGCAGCGACGCCGCGUGAGCGAUGAAGUAUUUCGGUAUGUAAAGCUCUAUCAGCAGGGAAGAAGAUGACGGUACCUGACUAAGAAGCCCCGGCUAACUACGUGCCAGCAGCCGCGGUAAUACGUAGGGGGCAAGCGUUAUCCGAAUUUACUGGGUGUAAAGGGAGCGUAGACGGCGAUGCAAGCCAGAUGUGAAAGCCCGGGGCUCAACCCCGGGACUGCAUUUGGAACUGUGUGGCUGGAGUGUCGGAGAGGCAGGCGGAAUUCCUAGUGUAGCGGUGAAAUGCGUAGAUAUUAGGAGGAACACCAGUGGCGAAGGCGGCCUGCUGGACGAUGACUGACGUUGAGGCUCGAAAGCGUGGGGAGCAAACAGGAUUAGAUACCCUAGUAA